rnacentral:tRNA from 1 species
GGUGGGCCUCGCGGUCUUCAAAACCGUUGUCCCGAUGUGAUCCAUCGGGAGGUGGGUUCGACUCCCAUGCACUCCC